rnacentral:rRNA from 1 species
AUUAACGCUGGCGGCGCACAUAAGACAUGCAAGUCGAACGGAAGUCGUUAUAACUCAGAACGAAGAUUUAUCUGAGGGACGAGAUAUAACAAUGGCUUUAGUGGCGGACUGGUGAGUAACACGUAAGAAACCUGCCUAUUAGAGGGGAAUAACAACGAGAAAUCGUUGCUAAUACCGCAUAAGCUAGUAGUACCGCAUGGUACAGCUAGAAAAGGAGAAAUCCGCUAAUAGAUGGUCUUGCGUCCGAUUAGCUAGUUGGUGGGGUAACGGCCUACCAAGGCAACGAUCGGUAGCCGAGCUGAGAGGCUCAACGGCCACAUUGGGACUGAGAUACGGCCCAGACUCCUACGGGAGGCAGCAGUCGGGAAUAUUGCGCAAUGGAGGAAACUCUGACGCAGUGACGCCGCGUAUAGGAAGAAGGUUUUCGGAUUGUAAACUAUUUUAGACAGGGAAGAAAUUGACAGUACCUGUAGAAUAAGCUCCGGCUAACUACGUGCCAGCAGCCGCGGUAAUACGUAGGGAGCAAGCGUUAUCCGGAUUUAUUGGGUGUAAAGGGUGCGUAGACGGGAGAACAAGUUAGUUGUGAAAGCCCUCGGCUUAACUGAGGAACUGCAACUAAAACUAUUUUUCUUGAGUGCAGGAGAGGAAAGCGGAAUUCCUAGUGUAGCGGUGAAAUGCGUAGAUAUUAGGAGGAACACCAGUGGCGAAGGCGGCUUUCUGGACUGUAACUGACGUUGAGGCACGAAAGUGUGGGGAGCAAACAGGAUUAGAUACCCUGGUAGUCCACACCGUAAACGAUGGAUACUAGGUGUAGGAGAUGAUUUCAUCAUCUGUGCCGAAAGCAAACGCAAUAAGUAUCCCACCUGGGGAGUACGGCCGCAAGGUUGAAACUCAAAGGAAUUGACGGGGGCCCGCACAAGCGGUGGAGCAUGUGGUUUAAUUCGAUGCAACGCGAAGAACCUUACCUGGUCUUGACAUCCACAGAACAUUCCAGAGAUGGGAUGGUGCCUUCGGGAACUGUGAGACAGGUGCUGCAUGGCUGUCGUCAGCUCGUGUUGUGAAAUGUUGGGUUAAGUCCCGCAACGAGCGCAACCCCUGUGAUUAGUUACUAACAAGUUAAGUUGAGGACUCUAAUCAGACUGCCGGUGAUAAAUCGGAGGAAGGUGGGGACGACGUCAAAUCAUCAUGCCCUUUAUGUCCUGGGCAACACACGUACUACAAUGGUCGUAACAGAGAGAGGCAAAGCAGUGAUGCAGAGCAAAACUUAAAAAGCGACCUCAGUUCGGAUUGAAGGCUGAAAUUCGCCUUCAUGAAGUCGGAAUUGCUAGUAAUGGCAGGUCAGCAUACUGCCGUGAAUACGUUCCCGGGCCUUGUACACACCGCCCGUCACACCAUGAGAGUUGGAGAUACCCGAAGCCUAUGAGCUAACUAUUAGAGGCAGUAGUCGAAGGUAGAAUCAAUGAUUGGGGUG